rnacentral:rRNA from 1 species
AUGCGCUUCCAAUUCCAUCUCCUCCCGCACCGCAUUGGCCUCUUCUCGUCGAUCUCCUCCAUGUCCAGCUCGCGCCCCGCCUCCAGGCUCAUCCGCGCAUCCCGCCCGGAGCUCAACCCAGUUCAAACUGUAAGGGAAGUGAAGUUUGAACCCGGUGUUUCUUUUGACUACUCCAAGUCUGAAAUGAAUUCUGUCAAGAGGAAAAGGCUGAACCGGGUGCUUGAAGUAAAGGAGGAGCUUCCUAAGAAGCAGGUUAGUAUUGUUCCUGACAUUGAAGAUUUUCGAUAUGUAAAGACUGAGGCAGAAACGUCAGUAACUGCAAAGAGGGUAUCAGCAUCAUCAAAUAAGAACAGUUCACCAGGUGUAAAGGAAGUGAAGUGUGAACCCAGUGUUUCUUUUGACUACUCCAAAUCUGAAAUGAAUUCUGUGGAGAGGAAAAGGCUGAACCGGGUGCUUGAGGUAAAGGAGGAGCAUCCUAAGAAGCAGGUUGGUGCUGUUCCUGACAUCGAUGAUUUUCGAUAUGUAAAGACCGAGGCAAAAACAUCAGUAUCUACGAAGAGGGUACCAGCAUCAUCAAAUAAGAACAGUUCACCAGUCAGGUUGGAGAAAAAGAUCAGAGUUUCAUCUGUUGUGAAAGUGGAAGUUGCAGCUCCAGAAAAUUGGGAAGCAGUUCUUGCAGGUAUUAAAAACAUUAGGUUAUCUGGCCAGGCCCCCGUAGAUACAAAGGGCUGUGAAAAGGCUGGUUCUCUUCUUCCACCCAAGGAAAGAAGGUUUGCAGUUCUUAUAUCAACAAUGAUGUCAAGCCAGACAAAAGAUGAAGUUACGCAUGCUGCUGUGGAGCGUCUCGGUGAGAACGGUUUACUUGACCCUGAUGCUAUCGUCAGAACAGAUGAGGCCACACUGGCAAAUCUUAUCAAACCUGUUGGAUUCUAUCAGAGGAAGGCCCAAUUCAUAAAAGAAGCUUCCAGAAUUUGCCUUGAGCGAUUUGGAGGAGAUAUUCCAGAUACUUUGACUGAUCUGCUUGCUCUGAAAGGAGUUGGCCCUAAAAUGGCUCAUCUGGUGAUGAGCAUCGCAUGGAAGAAUACUCAAGGAAUCUGUGUGGACACUCAUGUGCAUCGCAUUUCCAACCGUCUUGGAUGGGUUUUCCGAGAAGGAACAAAGCAGAAAACUACUACACCAGAACAGACAAGGAUGUCUCUUGAGAAGUGGCUGCCCAAGGAUGAGUGGGAGCCAAUAAACCCGCUACUGGUCGGAUUUGGUCAGACAAUCUGUACUCCGCUGAGGCCCAAAUGCGGCAGCUGUGGCAUAAACACCAUUUGCCCAUCAGCUUUUAAGGAAGCGUCAAGUCCCAAUCCGAAGCAAAAGAGGCGAGGUCUAGGUCCAACCUAA